rnacentral:tRNA from 1 species
GGGCUGAUAGUUAUAUCCGGUUAAAACGAUAGAUUUGCAAUCUAUAGUGCUGAGUUCGAGUCUCAGUCGGUCCA